AAUCUUGAACUCCCGCAUUUUGUUCCAAAAUUAUAUGCACACUCUAGAGAAUCACUGAAGUUCUGGGCGUGAGGGGAUUUGAAUAAGUACCGACUUCUUGAUGUUCAAAACAACAAAUUUAAUUAUCACAUUUCAUAAACUGAAAAAUUUACAAAAGAUGAGGAAUAAAGAAUUUGUUUCCUCCAACUGCAAUUGUUUGGAUUUCUUACCAACAACUUGCUUACUUCCAUGCCUCUUAUCAGAAAUCAAAUCAAAUCCCCACAUGCACACCCUAACUGAUUCUUCUCAUACCUCACAGAGCAUUUCUGGGACUUCUUUGGCACAUGUAAGAGAUGAAUUUAUAGUUUCAACAGCCUUUUUGCUCAUCCGAAAUCUAUCAUUGGUCUGGCUGCAAGAAACCCCAACAAACAAAAAAACAAAUAAAAUUAACAAACAUAUGUUGAAUAAUACUUCAAAACUUCAAAGAUACAGAAAUGUUUCUAAAAUCAUGGCAAAAAUUGACUGUAGAACCAAGCAUAGGGCUCGAGUAACAAAAUGACAAACCAAGGGAUACAUCUAUUAUGAGGCACUCGGUUAUCUUUGAAGGAAAAGACUACAUAACGCAUUGUACCUCAAGCCUAUAAUGUUAUAUCACCCACAGUUACACAUAAGAAUCAAAAUAAGCACCAUAAUCCAAAAAAUGUGAUUUCAUCACGAUAGACAUGUCAAUGAAAACCCCUUUGUGUCUACAAAAUGCAAAAAUUAACCUCUUUUGAGAAAUGAAGGAAGAAAGACUAAAGCCUAACUCAAAAUAUUUGACAUUAAUAACACAAAUCUAAUCCCAUAUAACCAGACAGAAGCUACACCCUAGAGACGGAAGAGGGGAAACAUAAAGCAACCAUACCCAAAUGAUUAUAUAAUCUCCAGACUGAGAGUGAAUUCAAAGCAUGAAAGGGAAGUGAGUUCCUUGAUUCCCGCAUAGAUCAAAGACAAUUAUGCACUUGAUCAUCACAAAUGGGGUCAAAAGGUCAAAAUUCACCCCUCAAAAUUUCAACGAACCAACGAACUAAACAAAGCAAUGAUGCAGAAAAAUGAUCAGAAGCUUGAGAUAUAUAAAAAAAAUUAAAUUAAUUGAGUAUAUCCCCUGAUUUUACAGAUACCUUGCAAGUGGGGGAGCUCGAAGAGAGCAUUUGAACCAAAUUCUUUAUAAGUUACAGCUCCUUGCAGUCUUCAAACUAUUUUCCUUAAGUUGCAUAUUUGCCAAGGCUGCUUCCAUCAAUGUUCUAGUCUGCUGUAAAAGUAACACAUGAGUUUUUCUAACUUCAACAAUAGAACCAACAGAGUCAAAGGUCUUGAUAAGCAUUCUGAGAAGAAACCAUUAUAGUAUCUGUGUGUAGUAUAUGUAUUUGUGGGUGUUUAUCUGAGUCCAUCAUUCGUUUGUGCUAUGAGUAUUUAGGAGUGUAAGUUCGUGUGUGUACUUGCCAGAAAAAUAUGACUUUUACUUUCAGUCGAUCAAAUAAAAAUUUAUUCAAAUAUAACACUACUUGGUUUUAAGACUCCUAGUAUUGGCAAAUAAAAAAUAAAUAAAAAAAUAAAAAAGACUCCUAGUAUUCUCCCAAUGUUAAGAUUUAAUAUUCAUUUUUGCUUGGCUUAAUGAUUUAGGGUUUAGGGUUUAGGGACCAGUGAAUAUUUGUUCGAUGUAUGUGUGUAGAUAUAGAGACUAAUCCAAAAUUAAGACAUGUAGGAAAUAUUUGAGCUUUACAUGAUUACCGACGGAACAAAAGCUCAAAAAUAGGAUUUGAACUCAGGUAUGAAAGAAAUGAUACCUUUUUAUUGACCAGAAAGGUUCCCUUCACAGCAUGGCCCUCGUAGAAAAGUUGGAACUGCA
rnacentral:lncRNA from 1 species